CAGAGUAUAGCUUAAGUAGAAAAGCAUCUCCCUUACACUGAGAAGCUAUCCGUGCAAAUCGGUUUACUCUGA
rnacentral:tRNA from 1 species